rnacentral:sRNA from 1 species
UCAUGAGCCUCGUACACACUCGAAUACAAACGAUACUGAAUUCAUGAUGAUAGCGUUUUGUUGCACCGUUGUCUUAUGGUUUUAACUGUUGUUAUAGUAACAAAAAGACUCGGCCUUUGUUUUUGGCAAACGUUUGCGUCACCAUCGACAAAAAGAAAGUGGUCACGUGUCAGUGAUGGAUUUCGUCGUUUUAGUUUGAUAUUAUCUAACUUUUUAGAAAGGAGAGCGAUUCAAUAUUCCCAAUGAAUGUAAAAAAAUACCUUAGCUGUAAGGAAAUACAUACAGAGAAAGCCACGAAAUACCCCAAGAGAAUCGGAUCUUCUUUUUCUUCUUCUUAAACUGUCAGUUAACAACUAACACAUAGCAAUUAGAGAAUUAGUACCUGCUUCAUUUGCACUAGAACCUAGUAUAUCAAUACGCUUUAGUAGUCGCCUCUGGGCAGAUAUUCUCUACCUCGAUGUUCCAAACAACUUAUAAGGUGAUAUAGGCUAGUGCAAUGGAGACACCUAACGAAGAGACUCGCAAUGGAGUCCUACCUUUAAAUUACAUCCGGCACGACAUCAUUUUAAAAGAGCAACACAAGCCCGCAGAUUUGUACAGCGGGGCUGGCAUCGCACAAACCGCGACACUCGGCUGCACGAGUGACUUGAAAAAGACAACACAGGAAACAGACGUCUCGGUGGCGGUAGUUGACAUCGAGGUGCCUCCAGAUGUGACGUCUCGGAGGUCUCCAACUUCAUGGCGCUUCAAGCAUCGAGAGACACUGAAACUUGUCGCUGUAAUCAUCUCAAUCCUCGGCUACUUCGCCUACUUUACAGCGACAUUGGUUCUUAAUUUCCAACAAGCCAUCCCUCUCCUUGUGUUGACUCUGCUCGCUGUUGUCAUAGUAACAAAAAGACUCGGGCUUCGUUUUUGGCGGACGUUUGCGUCAUCAGAGAGUAAGAGAAAGUGGUCACGUGUCAGUGAUGGAUUGCGGCAUUUUAGUUUGAAAUUAUCUAACUUAUUAGAAAGGAGAGCGAUUCAAAUUGUGUGUUAUUUGCUAUGUGUGGGAGCCAUGCUCACUUAUGUUGUCGUAAAGAACUAUUCCAACUUGGAGAAUUUAAAGCCGGCGCUGGGGCUAUUUUGUAUCGUCCUCUUUUGUUGGUGCAUAUCCUAUGAUAGAUUCAAGGUAAGUUGAUUGAUAGGUGCAAGGUAAGUUGGUUGAUAGGUGAAAUGCAAGCUAUAUAAUAGGAACAAUAUAUGCAGGUUAAUAGAUGCAUGGUAAACUGGUUGACAGA